rnacentral:rRNA from 1 species
CGGGUGAGUAACGCGUGGGGAAUCUGCCUUGGAGCGGGGGACAACCUUUGGAAACGAAGGCUAAUACCGCAUAACAAUGAUUUGGACAUCCUUAUCAUUUGAAAGUAGCUAUUGCUACACUCCAAGAUGAUCCCGCGUUGGAUUAGCUAGUUGGUAGGGUAAAGGCCUACCAAGGCGAUGAUCCAUAGCCGACCUGAGAGGGUGAUCGGCCACAUUGGGACUGAGACACGGCCCAAACUCCUACGGGAGGCAGCAGUAGGGAAUCUUCGGCAAUGGGGGCAACCCUGACCGAGCAACGCCGCGUGAGUGAAGAAGGUUUUCGGAUCGUAAAACUCUGUUGGUAGAGAAGAACGUUGAGUAGAGUGGAAAAUUACUCAAGUGACGGUAUCUACCCAGAAAGGGACGGCUAACUACGUGCCAGCAGCCGCGGUAAUACGUAGGUCCCGAGCGUUGUCCGGAUUUAUUGGGCGUAAAGCGAGCGCAGGUGGUUAUUUAAGUCUGGUGUAAAAGGCAAUGGCUCAACCAUUGUAAGCAUUGGAAACUGGAUGACUUGAGUGCAGUAGAGGAGAGUGGAAUUCCAUGUGUAGCGGUGAAAUGCGUAGAUAUAUGGAGGAACACCGGAGGCGAAAGCGGCUCUCUGGACUGUAACUGACACUGAGGCUCGAAAGCGUGGGGAGCAAACAGGAUUAGAUACCCUGGUAGUCCACGCCGUAAACGAUGAGUGCUAGCUGU